rnacentral:misc_RNA from 1 species
AUUAAAUAAAAAUUGGAUACCGAAACCAAUAAGUGAACAAUAUAAUUUCUUAGAUUUAGACUGCGUCACAGACAUAAAUAAAGCAAUAUUACUAUGGACAGGAAAUAUAUCCAAGCAGUUAAUAGAUAAUAAAAUAGAAACAACAAAAACACCAAUAUAUAUAAAAAGAACAUUCGUAGGAACGGCAAAAUUAUGGAUAGAAAAUCUACCCCCAGAAAGUUUAGAAGUACUUAGAAAUGAUAAGAAAAUGGAUGGAUCCGCAUCAGCAACAAAUAUAGAUAUACUAGAUAAAUAUGAAUCAGCAAUAAGAAAUGAAUUUGGAGGCAUGACUACAGAUA